rnacentral:lncRNA from 1 species
CAACAAUACUGCUACAUCCCCUUACGCCUAGUCUGUAAAGAACUUUGUUUAACCCGGAGGCGGGGCCAGCCAGCUCCGCCCCUCCAGCUGGACGCGGGAGCGAGGUUGAGUUUACCAAGAUGAUGCCAGUAUAGCUAGUGAGAUGCAGCACGCCAUCUUCAGCCCCCUCGCCUCUGGAAGAGACACCAGACUGCAAAGGGCACCGCGUACAGAAGCUAACGGAACUUGAAUGACAAGACAAAAAGAGCAGAACCAGUUAGUGUGACACAACAUUCUAACAUGCCUGAUUCUUUUUUUUUUUUUUUUUUUUUGAGACGGAGUCUUGCUCUUUCGCCCAGGCUGG